rnacentral:rRNA from 1 species
CGGAGGACCUUUCGGGGCUUUCGCGCUAAUGGAUGAGCCUAAGUCGGAUUAGCUUGUUGGUGAGGUAAAGGCUCACCAAGGCGACGAUCCGUAGCUGGUCUGAGAGGACGAUCAGCCACACUGGGACUGAGACACGGCCCAG